rnacentral:rRNA from 1 species
AGUGAACGCUGGCGGCGUGCUUAACACAUGCAAGUCGAACGAGAACGGAGUAUAGCUUGCUAUAAUUGUCAGCUAAGUGGCGCACGGGUGAGUAAUGUAUAGGUAAUAUGCCUAUCACUAAGGGAUAACAAAUGGAAACGUUUGCUAAUACCUUAUACUCCUUAUUAACAUAAGUUAAUAAGGGAAAGAUUUAUUGGUAAGAGAUUAGCCUGUAUUGUAUCAGUUAGUUGGUGGGGUAAUGGCUUACCAAGACUAUGACAGAUAACUGGUUUGAGAGGAUGAUCAGUCACACUGAAACUGAGACACGGUCCAGACUCUUACGGGAGGCAGCAGUGGGUAAUAUUGCACAAUGGACGGAAGUCUGAUGCAGCAACGCCGCGUGGAGGAUGACACAUUUCGGUGCGUAAACUCCUUUUAUAUGAGAAGAUAAUGACGGUAUUAUAUGAAUAAGCACCGGCUAACUCCGUGCCAGCCGCCGCCGUAA